UAGGGAAUCUUCCACAAUGGACGCAAGUCUGAUGGAGCAACGCCGCGUGAGUGAAGAAGGUUUUCGGAUCGUAAAGCUCUGUUGUUGGUGAAGAAGGAUAGAGGCAGUAACUGGUCUUUAUUUGACGGUAAUCAACCAGAAAGUCACGGCUAACUACGUGCCAGCAGCCGCGGUAAUACGUAGGUGGCAAGCGUUGUCCGGAUUUAUUGGGCGUAAAGCGAGCGCAGGCGGAAUGAUAAGUCUGAUGUGAAAGCCCACGGCUCAACCGUGGAACUGCAUCGGAAACUGUCAUUCUUGAGUGCAGAAGAGGAGAGUGUAAUUCCAUGUGUAGCGGUGGAAUGCGUAGAUAUAUGGAAGAACACCAGUGGCGAAGGCGGCUCUCUGGUCUGCAACUGACGCUGAGGCUCGGAAGCAUGGGUAGCGAACAGG
rnacentral:rRNA from 1 species